rnacentral:rRNA from 1 species
GGAAACGGGGUGCGGGUUGGCGGGGGUAUACGGGGGGGGCAAGCAGUUUCCGGAUUUAGUGGGGGUAAAUAGCGUGUAGGGUGCCAUACAGGGCAGCGGUGAAAACUCGAGGCGCAACCUCGAGACGUCGGUUGAAACCGUAUGGCUAGAGUCCGGAAGAGGAGAGUGGAAUUCCCGGGGUAGCGGUGAAAUGCGCAGAUAUCGGGAAGAACACCCGUGGCGAAGGCGGCUCUCUGGGACGGUACUGACGCUGAGACGCGAAAGCGUGGGGAGCGAACAGGAUUAGAUACCCCAGUAGUC